ACCUUCGGGCCUCUUGCCAUCAGAUGUGCCCAGAUGGGAUUAGCUUGUUGGUGAGGUAACGGCUCACCAAGGCGACGAUCCCUAGCUGGUCUGAGAGGAUGACCAGCCACACUGGAACUGAGACACGGUCCAGACUCCUACGGGAGGCAGCAGUGGGGAAUAUUGCACAAUGGGCGCAAGCCUGAUGCAGCCAUGCCGCGUGUAUGAAGAAGGCCUUCGGGUUGUAAAGUACUUUCAGCGGGGAGGAAGGUGUUGUGGUUAAUAACCGCAGCAAUUGACGUUACCCGCAGAAGAAGCACCGGCUAACUCCGUGCCAGCAGCCGCGGUAAUACGGAGGGUGCAAGCGUUAAUCGGAAUUACUGGGCGUAAAGCGCACGCAGGCGGUCUGUCAAGUCGGAUGUGAAAUCCCCGGGCUCAACCUGGGAACUGCAUUCGAAACUGGCAGGCUUGAGUCUUGUAGAGGGGGGUAGAAUUCCAGGUGUAGCGGUGAAAUGCGUAGAGAUCUGGAGGAAUACCGGUGGCGAAGGCGGCUCCCUGGACAAAGACUGACGCUCAGGUGCGAAAGCGU
rnacentral:rRNA from 1 species